AUAUCAAUAAGCGGAGGAAAAGAAACUAACAAGGAUUCCCGUAGUAACUGCGAGUGAAGUGGGAAGAGCUCAAAUUUGGAAUCUGGCGGUUCUGGCCGUCCGAGUUGUAAUCUAGAGAAGUGUUACCUGCGCUGGACCGUGUACAAGUCUCCUGGAACGGAGCGUCAUAGAGGGUGAGAAUCCCGUCUCUGACACGGACUACCAGGGCUUUGUGGUAUGCUCUCAAAGAGUCGAGUUGUUUGGGAAUGCAGCUCAAAAUGGGUGGUAAACUCCAUCUAAAGCUAAAUACUGGCGAGAGACCGAUAGUGAACAAGUACCGUGAGGGAAAGAUGAAAAGAACUUUGGAAAGAGAGUUAAACAGUACGUGAAAUUGCUGAAAGGGAAACGCUUGAAGUCAGUCGCGUUGGCUGGGGAUCAGCUUCACAAACAAGUGCGGUGUAUUUCCUGGUUGACGGGUCAGCAUCAAUUUUGACUGCUGGAGAAAGGCUUGAGGAAUGUAGCAGCCCCGGCUGUGUUAUAGCCUCUUGUCAGAUACAGUGGUUGGGAUUGAGGUGUGCAGCACGCCGCGAGGCCGGGGCUUAAAUAGCCCACGUUCGUGCUUAGGAUGUUGACAUAAUGGCUUUAAGCGACCCGUCUUGA
rnacentral:rRNA from 1 species